AAUGGCGAAUGAACAGGGGUUGGCUCAGAGUUAAAAUCGGGGCCCCUGGCCUUGAAUUGUAGUCUGGCGAUGCGCCACCAACAGCGGUGCUGGUGUAAGCCUCUUGGAAAAGAGUGCCAUCGAGGGUGAGAGUCCCGUACGUCACCAGCAACCCGCUGUUCACGGUGUGCAUUCCAAGAGUCACGUUCCUCGGGAUUGGAGCGCUAAGUGGGUGGUACAUUUCAUCCAAAGCUGAAUAUGAGUUCGAGACCGAUAGCAAACAAGUACCCUGAGGGAAAGAUGAAAAGGACUUUGAAAAGAGAGUUAAACAGAGCCUGCCAUUGCUGAAAGGGAAGCGAAUGUAACCAGUGAGACUUGGUGAGAUUGCUGGGCCCUUACAGGAUGAUUGUCCACUUCAGCGCAAGCGGCGUGGGCGGUUUUGAAUGUUGGGCGCCUAGUGUUCCUCGCCUUGUCGGUCACUGACGGCACGGGUGUGAGGAAAAACGUUGGGGGAUGGUAGCCUGUCUUCGGGUGGGUGAAUACCUCAGCUUCUACUUACGCCUGCGCUGCCACGUGGCUAAAUGGUCUCAUUCGGCCCGUCUUGAAACACGGACCAAGGAGCCUAACAUAUGUGCGAGUUCACGGGUUUGAAAACCUGCGUGCGCAAUGAAAGUGACUGCUGGGAUUUCUGCACCAGCUACCGACUGAUCAUUUGAGUGAGGUUUGAGUAUGAGCAUAUCUGUUAGGACCCGAAAGAUGGUGAACUAUGCCUGUGAAGGGCAAACUCAGGGGAAACUCUGAUGGAGGCUCGUAGCGGUACUGACGUGCAAAUCGUUCGUCAUACAUGGGUAUGGGGGCGAAAGACUAAUCGAACCAUCUAGUAGCUGGUUCCCUCCGAAGUUUCCCUCAGGAUAGCUGGAGUCGAACAGUUUUAUCAGGUAAAGCGAAUGAUUAGAGGAAUCGGGGACUCGUCGUCCUCGACCUAUUCUCAAACUUUAAAUGGGUAAGAUCCAGUGGUUACUUGGUUGAACUUCUGGGAUCCAUGACGACUCUAAGUGGGCCAUUUUUGGUAAGCAGAACUGGCGAUGAGGGAUGAACCUAACGCUGGAUUAAGGUGCUUAACUGCUCGCUCAUCAGAUACCAUAAAGGGUGUUGGUUCAUUCUAACAGC
rnacentral:rRNA from 1 species